rnacentral:lncRNA from 1 species
GGCUUAGGUAACAUCUUCAGCUUCUUCUAAGAAAAAAAACAAGCUGCAGUCCCUGUUCUGCUGAGGUUCACACUGGCACUCUGGAUGAUUUAAAUGCAGCCAGGUUUAGUGUGGAGUAUGCCUAAAAUGGGUGGAGAUCUCUGUGCAUCUUGGUCAUCCUGUAAAGCACUGGGAAUGAAAAGGAGGUGUUCUUUCAGAAUCAGACAGCAGACAGGGAGAGAUGAAUUUCUAAAUUAAUAUCAGCUUUGGAAAACUUCUGUAAAGAGACCGUGAUACACUGCCAGCAUCAUUAUGCUUGGGUCCUACCGAAAGAGAAAAAAACCAUUGGGAUGCGAAGUGUCUUGGAAAGAAUGCAGAGUCUACUCUGAGGAGCUUGCAGUACUGAGAUCUACUCCCGCACUAGGCCAUGUUUAUUCAUCAAAUGGAGAAACACUCCCUGUGUCAGAGAUAUUAUCUGCAUUAGUCAUCAGUACAAGUGGUGCAGAGACCUUUCUGUGCUGCAGAGGAGCCUGCAGCACAACCAAGGAAAUGCUGCCAUGUCACUAG